CUCAGAAACAAAUCUAUAUUAUAAUGAGACAGUUUAGUCUCUCUCCUAAAGCUAUCCACCUCAGCACUUAUGGGUCCCACAAAAAAAAAUGUGUUCGUGUUUUAUGAUUUAGUUUUCGUGUGUAUUAUUUAUGAAAUGGGUUCUUAUGUUGUUUCAUUUGUAGAAUAUCUGUGGCCCAAUAAUUAACAAGAAAAACCUCUAAAGCCUUUUCCGUUUUUUUUUAUCUUUUCAAUAUAAUUUUAAGGUUUCAAUUGCUUCAAGUCUCUUCUGUAAAUUGGAAAGUAACCCUGUCAGUUUUCAUGGAGCAGUGAAUCUUCCUCUACCUCUUCAUCUCGCAAUCUUUGAUGUGUUCAUUAUUAAUGGUUCAUUUUCGAUUUAUACCUUAAGUCAAACACUGGAACCCUUCAUCGGGGCUGGAGUUCUUUUCGAUUUUCAUUUUCGAUUCUUAUGGCUUCUGUAAUGGGCAGCGACGGGGAAACGGAGGAAGAUGUUUCUGCCGAUCUGACUUCCGUUCUCAGUGAAGAGGUUUGUUCCAGGUUUCACGUGUUCUAGAUUGUUAAGAGUUUCACGGCGUUUUCUUCUAUUUAUUUUGCUAUGUAAAUGGGUAUUACUUUUCACUGCCUGCAUCCGGUGAAGCUCCUGAUCUGAAUGAUACAGUUUACUAAACUGGAUGAGCUUUUGACUCAGACCCAACUCUACUCAAAAGUAAAUCUCUUUUUUGCCUUUUUUUGUUGGUGGUUAAAGAACAUGAUUUUUUCUUAAUUGAGUUAGCGUGCUUUGCUCGAAUGGGAUAGAAGGUGAGACCCAAAAACCCGAGCUCGAGAAGAAAGGAGGUCGUGGACGCAAAAGAAAGGAGCUCGAUUGGAGAUCUCAACAACUUUCUCUCCAACUUCAACGACCAGCUUCCUAAUAGGCUUCCAACAAAGUUUAAAUCUGUUUCACCUUUGAAUUAUAAAUUUUUAAUGGUACAUCUCUUCUCUUGGUGAACACACGGGAAGCUUAUUUUAUUUGCAAGGCUCGGAUUGUUGAGUCCUUGAGCCAAAAAACCAAAAUGGCUGGUACUAUAUGUCUUGCACUCGCUGCAGCAAAAAAACUAAACAGAUCUCCCGCAUCUCUCCGCUGCAAGCCUGCAACUAAUGUGUUAAUCACAAUGUCACCAGUGUUGUAAAAUAAGAAGAGAAUAAAAGCCAUAGGUAGAGUUGAUGUACCUCAAGAAGCUUUCAUGGCCCUCAAACUCGAAAAGGAGGUUUUGUAACACUUUUAAGUAGCUCGAUAAAAAAUCUAUUAGAUUAAUGCCGCCAAGAGUGCAGGAAGAGCUGUCCUGUCUUCAAGACUGGGAAACUUUGUAUUGAGGUGACUCCUACUUCCAACACUGCUUUCUUGUCUGAGGAGCUUUGUAUAGGAUGUGGUAUCUCUUGAAGAAAUCCCCAUUUCAAGCUAUUCAGAUCAUCAACCUUCCAAAAGACUUGGAGAAAGAUACAAUCCACUGCUAUAAUUCCAAUGGUUUUAAACUACAUAGGGUUCCAGUGCCAAGACCGGGAAAAGUCCUAGGUUUGGUUGGAACAAAUUGUAUUGGGAAAUCUACAGCUCUCCAAAUCUUGGCUGGAAAAAUCAAACCAAACCUUGGCAGAUACAAUAAUCCUCCUGAUUGGCAUGAAAUUUGGCUCACUUCCGUGGAUCAGAGAAACUAAAGACUGCUAUAGUGCUAUGAAGCCACAACAUGUGGAUGCUAUGAAAAAAUUGCUAAAGGUACGCUUGGGAUGGUUCUUGAGAAGCUAGAAGAAAGAGGAAUGAUGUCAGAGAUUUGUGAUGCUAUGGAUUUGAACCACCUCUUGGACCGUGAAGCAACCCAAGUAUCUGGUGGAGAGCUACAACGUUUUUCGAUUGCUGCAGUUUGCCUCAAGAAGCCAGAUAUAUAUGUGUUUAAUAAACCUUCUAAUUUCUUAGAUGUGAGGCAAAGGCUCAGAGCUGCUGAAGUUAUAUGUUCGCUCCUAAAACAUGACAAGUUUGGUUCUAUCAUCUCUUUGGUUCUUGAAUACAAUACGAGGUUGUUCUUUGCGGCUACGUGAUUGUGGUGGAGCAUGACCUCAGUGUACUUGACUACUUUCGGAUAUCGUUUGCUGUCUGUACGGAAAGCCGACAGCUUAUGGUGUCGUGACUCUCCCCUUCUCUGUUCGAGAAGGAAUCAAUGUGUUCUUAGCCGGUUUUGUCCCCACUGAAAACUUUCGUUUCAGAGACGAGUCUCUGACCUUUAAGGUUUCUGAUAAAACACAAGAGAGCGAAGGGAAAGUCAAGUCCUAUGCAAGAUACAAGUACCCUAACAUGUGUAAGAAACUUGGAAACUUCAAGCUGGAUGUAAUGGAAGGAGAGUUCACAGCAUCUCAGAUUAUUGUUAUGCUUGGGGAGAACGGUACUGGGAAAACAAUAUUCAUCCGGACGCUGGUAACUUCAGGCCAAGGAUCAACAAGUUAGAGUCCACCAAGGACAGAGAGCAAAAG